UGACCUGUUUAGUAUAGGGUUAAAAGAUUAUUAAGGUUGAGUGUGAUAUUAUUUUGGGGGUAGAUAUUAAAGUUGAGACCAGGACCUCUCUAGUGCGACAUCUGUUAGUCUUCUCAACAAGGCAACUGUUGGCUAUCUAUGGAAGAUAGAUGGCAUGCAUCCAUCAUGUCAGGGAAAAGAAAAAAAAAGUACCGUCUAAAGAAGAUUGACUCUCGGAUUGGAUAGAUCAGAGAUGUUCUUAACGGCUGAGUGGACUGGUUCUACUCUUCCAUCUGUUUUCCUAUCAUAAGAAGGAUGUAGGAAGUAGAUUGGAUAGUUUGAACUUAAUAUCUUCCAUACUUUUCCCAAUCAUAAGAGAGGUGCACGUAGAAAAAAGAGAGCGGGAGAAAUGGAGCGAGAGACUGUCGGGAACACAGUCUCCCACCCUGUUUAGCAUAGAGUUAAAGGGUUAUUAAGGUUGAGUGUGGUAUUGGUUUGGAGG
rnacentral:lncRNA from 1 species